rnacentral:tmRNA from 1 species
GGGGCUGAAAUAGCUUCGACGGGAUAAAAGAGAACUGGUUUCAAGCCGAGCAAGUUUGUUUGCCUCGUAAAUCCAACGAACAAGUUGUUUAAGUGCCAACUUAUUUAAAAAGGUCAAAACCGCUUUUAGCGGAUUAGCUUUUGCACCUGUUGUUGCCUAAACGCGACAACCGUCAAUAGAUUUGUCGAUCGGCUGAAUCUUGCGGCGUCAUAAUCCGAUCUACGUCCUGGUGAGAUAGUUUUGGUAAUCAGGAUUAGGUUAAAACAAAAGCAUUCGCCUUGUGCGAUCAGGGGUCUGUCGGCAAAUGUGCUUUUUAAACGAAAUUUGUCAAAUUCGUAGCGAAAUUUUUUAUAAGCGACGAUGUCUAUCAAUGGAAAGAUAAGCGGAGGAGUUUAGAAAAAAUUGCAGUAAAAAUGAUAUUUGUCGACAGACCCCACAAAGCUUGUCAACUGCCUUUUUGACUUUAUUUCGGACAGGGGUGCAACUCCCCUCAGCUCCAUUA